UUUGAAUGGCCGCAGUAUACUAACUGUGCAAAGGUAGCAUAAUCAUUAGUCUUUUAAUUGAAGGCUGGUAUGAAUGGUUGGACGAAAUAUUAACUGUUUCAUAAAUAUUUAUAUUAGAAUUUUAUUUUUUAGUUAAAAAGCUAAAAUAUUUUUAAAAGACGAGAAGACCCUAUAAAUCUUUAUAUUUAUAUUAUUAUAGUUUUUUAGAAAAUUUUUAUUUUAAUAAUUUAUAUUAUUUUAUUGGGGUGAUAUUAAAAUUUAAUAAACUUUUAAUUAUUAUAAUCAUUAAUUAAUGAAUAAUUGAUCCGUUAUUGACGAUUAAAAAUUUAAGUUACUUUAGGGAUAACAGCGUAAUUUUUUUGGAGAGUUCUUAUCGAUAAAAAAGAUUGCGACCUCGAUGUUGGAUUAAGAUAUAAUUUUAGGUGUAGCUGCUUAAAUUUUAAGUCUGUUCGACUUUUAAUUUCU
rnacentral:rRNA from 1 species